GUAGGUGGGAUCAAGUGUCGAGAUGGGUUUUUCAAAGUGACGUCGAUUGGUCUGUCAGAUGGCUUAGUGACGUCAAUAGAAAAGCAUGGUCAUCAUAUUCAGAUUAGGUUCAAAAUGAGAUGCAGACGUUGGACUGGAGAUUUGGAAAAGAGGGACUUAAACACUUGAUUUGAUGUAGCCAACGUUAAGUAACUAUUCGUUGUUGAGCCUUUUAUAACACUACCAAGAUAGAAAACCUCCUUCAAUUGGAUGAUGGCCUCCUCCUGCAUGACACCUGUGCUACAUGCUGCUUCCUUUGACACCUGAGCUUCCUCUCUGCUCCUGAGGACUACUCCUUCCGCCUCCUGUCACCUAACAGACCACCUCCUGUAUGCUUGUGAGGAAGCCUCCUGCCACCUCUGUCACCUGGUAAACCACUUCCUGCAGACCACCUGAACUAAAUUCAGCAUCAGCUGCUUCCUCUGCUGGGUCUACGCUCUCUUGUUCUGUCUUUCUCGCCUAAAACUCCUACAUCUGCUUCCCUGUCCUCCUUCAAAAAUAGACCAUUCAAGACUUUAAACCUGUGAUAUAAAACAAUAACGAUGCAUCUUUAAUUGCUAUGAACUUUGUGGUUGGCUUACUUUUUCCACUACGCCGUGCAUUUGUUGCAGAUUGAGGGGGUGGAUUCAUGUAAUGUCUUCUGGUAGGUACUGCCUCAGAGGACAGUGUCUUCCGUGAACCCUGUUGAAAGACAUUUUUUACCAGAAAAUAUCAUGACUGAUUAUUAUUUAUUUUAGACAAAGAUAAUAAUCAGAAUAUAACUCUUCAAAGUGCUCCUCGCACACAGCGUAACCCCCUUUCUUCAGGUCCUCAAAAGGACUUCUGCAGACUGAUAUCCCUACGCCUGAUGUUUCUCAGCCACAUCUUCCUCCUGAGUAAUUACAAAAGUGUGUAAGGUUUAAUCUCACAUUUUAUUGAAUUCAGAUGGAUGUUGGUCUAUGCUUAAGGUCUCCUGUUUUAUAGUUCAUUUAGUACUGUAGUGGUUGCAGAUAACCAUAAACUAUUAUGUCCUCUACCUCCGUUAUUGACCUUGAUUUUAGAUUUUCUUUUAAAUAGUACUCUACAGUUAAUUUCGGCAGCCAUGUUGUUUUUUCUCUCUGUAUGUGUAAGAGGAGCGUGACGUAGACUCCAGAAGUAAGCAGAAAGGCAGCCUUUCUUGCUACUCCUGUGACCAGUACCCAAAUGAGGACCUGACAUUUUUACGGAUCGUGUCCUGCUAUAGUUAGUAGUGUAUAUGGACUCACCCCUGUAGUCUGCAGACUUCUGGGUUCUACGUCACACCUCUCUUCAAUCAAAACUGACACUCCUCUGUAAGACACCACCUUAAAAACCAUCGCCUGAUUAGCAACACCCCCAAUAACGGAGAACAUAUUAUAAAAUAAAGACCCACACUUUAUCCUGUCCUAUGAAACAUUAGAAUAAAUACCCACACUUUAUUCUAUGAAACAUUUUCAGUUGCUGCCCUCUGAAACCUGAUUGAUCUUUGGAAGCUCUGCUCUAAUACUACACAUGGUGUAUGUCUUUAUGCUUGGACCAUUUUCCUAUUCAUUGGAUGCAUGCACAAUGUGUUCUUCCAGGUUGUGAUCAAAUGCUCUACUUUCAUGGUGUCUAUAUGUUCUAUAUUUUUCACCAUUUUAAAAGGCAUUUAAUAAAUGUACAGUGUCUUGCAAAAGUA